UGGUCUUCGGAAAAAAACUAGUCGGUUGACUGAUACUGAUAAUGGUAAUAUGGAACCUCCUAAGAGUGCUCAAACGGCGCUGGUUAAAGAAAAUUUGCCCACAUAACAGGUGGAAGAACUUGUUUAUCCGGGAAGCGUGGACACGCUAGGUGAGAUUGAAAUUAGCUACCAUUAUGGUGGUUAUUUUGUAUUCUCGCCUUCUACAAGAUAUGUAAACGGGAUUGAAAUAUUAGUGAAUAUUUCGGGGGUAGACCAACGAAAGUACAACUUAUAAACAAUUAGAAUCGACAAGUAAGGAAUUGAACAAGCAUGUGGAAGAAGUUAAAAGGGAAGCUAAGGAGCAAAUUGAAGAAAUGAAGAAAGAAACGGAUAAUAAGAUAGCAAAGUUGGAGAAACAAUGGGCAGCAAAAUUUCAAAUGUUGGUUGCAGCUCAAGGCCGACAAUCAAAUGAUGCAAAUCUAACCCUUGUGGAGUAGUGAUGGAAGCAUCAAAAUCGAUGGGGACAUGAAGAAUUAUUUUUUAUCUUGCAAAAGUACAUUGAUAUGUUUGAAUAAAGUGAUGUUUCACCAUUUUGGAUGACAUUGUUGAACCUUUGUUACAUCUUUUUUCUAAUAUAUUGCAUUUAUUACACAAUUGAAGAUAUAUUGCUACGAUAUUGUCUAUAAAUU